rnacentral:rRNA from 1 species
UUAAUUGAAGAGUUUGAUCAUGGCUCAGAUUGAACGCUGGCGGCAGGCCUAACACAUGCAAGUCGAGCGGCAGCACAGAGGAACUUGUUCCUUGGGUGGCGAGCGGCGGACGGGUGAGUAAUGCCUGGGAAAUUGCCCGGUAGAGGGGGAUAACCAUUGGAAACGAUGGCUAAUACCGCAUAACCUCGUAAGAGCAAAGCAGGGGACCUUCGGGCCUUGCGCUGCCGGAUAUGCCCAGGUGGGAUUAGCUAGUUGGUGAGGUAAGGGCUCACCAAGGCGACGAUCCCUAGCUGGUCUGAGAGGAUGAUCAGCCACACUGGAACUGAGACACGGUCCAGACUCCUACGGGAGGCAGCAGUGGGGAAUAUUGCACAAUGGGCGCAAGCCUGAUGCAGCCAUGCCGCGUGUAUGAAGAAGGCCUUCGGGUUGUAAAGUACUUUCAGUAGGGAGGAAGGUGGUUAAG